rnacentral:misc_RNA from 1 species
GAUGAAGAACGUAGCGAAAUGCGAUAAGUAAUGCGAAUUGCAGAAUUCCAGAGAGUCAUCGAAUCUUUGAACGCACAUUGCGCCCUUUGGUAUUCCGAAGGGCAUGCCUGUUCGAGCGUCAUUAUCACCCCUCAAGCCCUCCGGCUUGGUGUUGGACGGUUUGGUGGAGGCCUAGCUUCUACCCCUCCCAAAGACAAUGACGGCGGCCUCGUUGGACCCCCGGUACACUGAGUUCUUCACGGGACACGUAUCGGACACACGGGUUUACGGGACACGGUCUGCCUCCCCUCAGGGAGAAUCUUCUCAAGGUUGACCUCGGAUCAGGUAGGGAUACCCGCUGAACUUAAGCAUAUCAAUAAGCGGAGGA